UGGCAGGAAGGGAGAGAGACACUGCUGAAGGUAUAUGGAGGAAUCACAUGUGGUCUGCUAUACAUCAAGUAUCCAAAACCAGGAUGUCUUAGUCAUUGAUGUUUCUCAGAGCAGCAUUCCACCCAGCUAUGAAAGCAAAACAAUGUCCCAAAUCAAGAUCUAGUUCAACCUCAAACUGGAAAGGAGACUGAAUUUUAACCUCUAAAAGGUUCUGUCCUUUUUAUAUACUGGUGUUGCUGGAUUGGCCGCACAACUUAAGUUGUGAGCAGCAGAAGCAGAAGAGCAUGUUCCACCCUGCAAAGAAAAUCGUACCACAGAAAGCAUGAGAGGGACAUCGGCUCAUUGAACAUAAUCUGAUAGGGAGGAAGAAGCAAAAGGGAUAGAAUGGCAAUCAGGGACACCAUGAGAGUGAGUUGUUUUUUGUGAUAAAAAUUAUAAGACUUGAAAUAAAGAUGACAUUUUACAGUAAAACAUGGCUCUCAUUAGUAUAAUCUAAUGCUUGGCUUUACCUUGUUACCCUGAAUAUUUUCCUCUCCUGGUCAUUUAAGCACUUUUCUCCCCUGUUCAAAUAUUUUUC